GUGUCACUUCCUGAUUGGC
rnacentral:misc_RNA from 1 species